rnacentral:rRNA from 1 species
AUUGAACGCUGGCGGCAGGCCUAACACAUGCAAGUCGAACGAGUGGCGGACGGGUGAGUAAUGUCUGGGAAACUGCCUGAUGGAGGGGGAUAACUACUGGAAACGGUAGCUAAUACCGCAUACCAUCAGAUGUGCCCAGAUGGGCUUGGCUUGGUGGUGGGGUAACGGCUCACCAAGGCGACGAUCCCUAGCUGGCCUGAGAGGAUGACCAGCCACAUUGGAACUGAGACACGGUCCAGACUCCUACGGGAGGCAGCAGUGGGGAAUAUUGCACAAUGGGCGAAAGCCUGAUGCAGCCAUGCCGCGUGUAUGAAGAAGGCUUUCGGAUUGUAAAGUACUGUCGGCGGGGAGGCGUUAUCCGCAGAGAAAGCACCGGCUAACGCCGUGCCAGCCGCCGCGGUAAUUC